GCAGCGCGCGCCGGUAUAGGGCGAGGCAGAGGUGCGCGUGUGCCGAGGCGGAGGCGGAGGCGGAGGCGCGGCGUGGGUGGUGUCUGCGGGCUCAGGUUCUGGAACCACGCGUUCCGACCAUUGACGGUGCCGGGGACGGAUAUUUAACUGGGCGGGGGCGCGGCAGUGAGGACGGUGAAGGUGUCGUGUGGUAUCCCAAGCUAGCAGCGGCCCUGUCUGUCUUCGCGGCUCGCGGCGAGUUAAGACAGGGUGGUAAGGAUUAGGUUGCUAGAGACAACCAAAGCGGUAAACCUGGCUACCGGCGGUACUUCCAACACGACUUCGACCUGCACGUGCUGCUAUCCGUCUUCGUCUUCCGGUAGUUCCACCAGAGGCGCGAGGUGCCCUAGCUGGUGUAGCGGCACCUGUACUUCCUGGUCUUCUACUGCCAGCAGCCGUGGCAGCUGGGGUAGCGGCAGCACCGGUCCGACGCGUCGUUCGGGAAGGGGUGCCGCGUCUAGAAGAGGCAGCCGGGCCGGUUCCUCCUCUUCUUCCUGCAGCUGUUCUUGCUGCGCCCGUUCGGCCACCUCAUGGGCUGCAUGACCAUAGGCGGCGGCGGCAUGGUGGGCGUGGACAUGGUGGAGCGAGUGUCGCGGCUCCUCCUGGGGUUGAGCACGUAAUAGACAACUAGCUGCGCGUGGCAGCUAAGAGAGGGAAGAUGUAAAAACAUAGACCGGCAGGACGGACCGGACGGCUAGCUAGUCGCAUGGACGUGGCCACUAGUUGCCGCACGCAAUACAUAUACCGGAACAUUCCACACAUUCAACGCGGCCACUAGGCCGUCGACAUGUCGUGUCGACGUAGACGGAUACGGAGACGAAUAUCAAACAUCACACGUCUAUGUCUUAAUGUCAUAUACAACCAGUCUUU
rnacentral:rRNA from 1 species